AGUGAACGCUGGCGGCAGGCCUAAUACAUGCAAGUCGAACGGCAGCACAGCAGAGCUUGCUCUGUGGGUGGCGAGUGGCGGACGGGUGGGGAAUACAUGGGAAUCUGCCCAGUCGUGGGGGAUAACGUAUGGAAACGUACGCUAAUACCGCAUGCGCCCUACGGGGGAAAGUCGGGGACCGGCAAGGCCUGACGCGAUUGGAUGAGCCCAUGUUCGAUUAGCUAGUUGGCGGGGUAAAGGCCCACCAAGGCGACGAUCGAUAGCUGGUCUGAGAGGAUGAUCAGCCACACUGGAACUGAGACACGGUCCAGACUCCUACGGGAGGCAGCAGUGGGGAAUAUUGGACAAUGGGCGCAAGCCUGAUCCAGCCAUACCGCGUGGGUGAAGAAGGCC
rnacentral:rRNA from 1 species